rnacentral:lncRNA from 1 species
UAUACAUAUAUAUCUACAUAAUGAAAUAUUAUUUAGUCUUAAAAGGGAAGUAAAUUCAGACACAUGCUACAACAUGGAUGAGCCUUGAGGACAUUAUGCUAAGUGAAAUAAGUCAGCCACAAAAAAACAAAUAUUGUAUAAUUCCACUUAUAUGAAGUAUCUAGAGUAGUCAAAUUCAUAGAAACAGAAAAUAGAAUGGUAGUUGCCAGGAGUUGUGGGUGGGAGAAAUGGAAAGUUAUUGUUUAAUGGGUACAGUUUCUGUUUUGCAAGAUGAAAAAGUUCUGGAGAUUGGAUGGCCAACAAUGUGGAUAUACUGAAGCACUGAAGUCUACACUUAAAAAUGAUUAAGAUGAUAACUUUAUGUUAUGUGCAUUUUCCAUAGUAAAAAACAAAAUCCCUUUUCCAAACCCCAUGUCACACAAACCUGUCCAAAAACCUCUUCAUUAACAGUGAAAGUGAGGUCUAAGAUGUCUGUGAUGUUGUUGUCCUUCAUCCACUGCAAACUCUGGUGGAAUUCCUCAUCCAAAUAUUCCAGGUCACUCAAAUCACAGGGCCUGGGUGAAUUCAGUGAGAAAGGCAAAUUACCAAACAAAUGGCUGCCCAGACCUCACUUCAAAAUGUGGUUAUAUCAUUCCUGGCUAAAACAUCACAGACUUAUCCUAACAAUUGGAUACUUUUGAAUCCACUGAUGAAUCAGAUUAUUCAGUCAUUUUAGUUCAUUCAAUGAUUUUCCUUUGAAAAGGAAAUGUGAAAUUGUUUACAAUAACAAACAUGAAAUAACUAUUGACUCAGGGACUCUGCAUGAAAAUUGGAGAAAACUAUCAUUUUAAAACAGUUAUGCUAUAAACAGAUCAGUUCUACUUAACAGUUUAAUGCAAUGUUUGUAAUAUUAUUAUAAUUUUAUAUAAAAUGAUUCAUCUCCAUGAUAUGAGAUUUUGAUAAUAGAAUCUUCCCUUACAACAACAACAAAAUCCCCAAAUACCUUUUUAUUGUGCUAAAAAAUGUAAGUGAUAUCUAAGCACUCAGAACAGGAAGCCACCAUAACCCUAACAGGAAUGGUUAGGGCAAAAUAGUGACAAAAGGGUCAGUGGCACCAGAGAGGUCGGUGUCCUUGCCCUGCAGACAGGGCUGGGUUGGAAGCAUGGUCUGCAAAGCACUUACAGUCUCAGGAGUGCCUUGUAGAAGGGCCUCGUGAAGAAAGCGUCAAGAAGGUACUGAUGGAUCAGAGCCAGACCCAGGAUGCGACCGCUAAACCUGAACCUGGAACACAGACAAGGCAGAGAAAUCGCCUCCAUGAAUCUCCUGAUGAACUCCCUCAGAAGGUGGAAGGAGCACCUGACACCGACCCGAGAUCAGCAGCAGCUACGCCCACGCUGUGGGCAGUUAAGAGGCAGCCAGUGGUACCAGUCGUGAGCGAUCAGAUUUGAGGACUCAGGAUUCUGGUUUCCUGAGUGUCAUGGACCUGCGGGCUGCAGAAAUGACAGCGACAGGUCUUCAGGCAGGUGCCACAGCACCCACACACUGCCAGCAUUUUGUGCAAAAUACCCAAAGCCACAUCACCAGAUCUGGGCUCUCCUAGCUUCCCUUUGCUAAAAUGCUGGCCAAAGAGCUUAACGAGCCACUCAGGGGCACAAGAUAGGUGAAACCUGCAUGUUUUGUUUGUUAAACUAUUUGCCACAUGGCACAAGAAAAUAACAAAAAAUAAACAAAAGGAAUAACUGCAGCAUCAUGGUUUUGUUAAGAUGUCCCAAAGCUGAUCAGGGCUUCCUGUUGAAAUCUAAAUGAGACUCUUCCUAGGUGGCUUACAUUCAGUCAGCUGUGGCUCUGUGCAAAGAAAACCAGUUUCCCUUGCUCAGAAAUUUGGAGCCACUGAUAAGAGAAGAAAAGUGUGAUUCCACAUGGAGGGUCAUGAUACAAUCUGAUCUCUGACCCCGUGGAGGUGAAGGGGCUUGUUCUGCAUGCCAGGCUGAGGACUCUCGGGACUGAGGCAUUCAGAGUCGCAGCUUUAAAUCAUAAGGGUUCCCUGCCCAUUUCAUCACAAGUCAGCAGCAUCCAAAGAGUGGCGUUGAAGAAAAUCUCAUCACCGUGGGCUCAGUUUAGAUUGCUAGUCGGCUCAGAAAGCUACCUGCAAUUGCGUUUCCAGGAUGCACCACAAAUACUCUCCACAUGAGGGAGAACAUCAGUGGAUGAAACUCAGCAUGCUUAGUGCGGGGCCAAGUCCUCUAACAAAGGACACAGCGGUUAACCUGCAUUUCGAGGACAGGCACUGUCAAGCCCUCAUCAGGGAUCCAUCCAGAGAACUUUGGUCAUAGCACUCUCUACCAUCAGAAUGGAGCCUGCCUGAAUGUGAGCUCAGUGAGAGGCAGAUUCCAUUCUUGGGCCCGUCCACGGUGACUUGUCUGCUCUGCUCCAUCAUCCACUUAUUCACAAGUUCUGGGGCAACAAAGGGCACGUUUUGUUUCAUCUUGUGCCAAACCCUCGAUGUGUACUCACUCACUCUACCUCAUCUCAAGAACUUCAGGGCUGGGAGUGCAUUUGGAGAGAAGGCAUGUGCAAUAUCUGGAAGCCUUAGCACAGGUGGGUUAUACUGAUGCUCUAUAGCCAAACUAUAGGAACUUGGGUUCUAAGGCCAGCAGGCCCAGGUGUCACCCCAAUGGCUCCCUUCAACAGCAGCAUAAAUAAGUCAUGUCAGAAGAACUCACAUUAGCCAUCUCCAGGACUCAUUUCCCUCUCAACAGCAGGAGCUCCUGCAGUCAGAACAGCGGUAAUUUUCAAAUCAGGCAUGUGGUGAUGCAGCAGGAAAGUGCCUGCAUCCCAGGUGUCCCAGCAGCUUUCUGGAGACCUCUAAUACCCACAUCUGCACCACAAAACUGCACAGCAUUGAGUGAUACCAAUCUUCUUAUACAUAUAGGUAAGUGGUAAUAGAAUGCCUCAACAGCAGACCACCCAGGAACCAAAGACAUACUGGAUUUUCAAGUCAGAAGAAUGCUUAGAGAUCAUCUGACCCAAUAGCCAUAUUUUACAGUAAGAUGCAGAAGCCAGUGUCCACAGUGCUAAAGCCACUGGUCCAAGGUGAAAGAAUUUCAAACCCAUAAAUACCUCCAAGAAGCUUCCACUGGGACCCUAUGAUUUUAGUAAAAUUAUCAACAUUCAUGACCUAUGUCUACUGAUCUUAGCGUCUUCUCAGUAGGCAAUUAUUCUUUCUCACAUCAAUUUGCAGUUGCUAUAUUAUCAGCAUCCUUGGUAAAUCCAUCUUGUGUUCUGGGUGAAGACUAACAGAUUCUUCCUUCUUGGACUCUGUCAUUCACUCUCAUCCCUCAUAACAUCUGGCCACUGCUCUAAACACAGUGGCCUUUGAGAAAUGCUGCUGAAUUCUGACUAAGAAAGAGGAGAACUUUCAAAUACAAGAAAGUGAACAUUAUAGAGCUUACCACUCAAGAUGGUUUUCUACAAAUGCGGACAUGGGGCUGAUCUGCACCGUGUAAGUAUCAUUUGCCGAGUACUCAAAGAGUCCAUAGUAAGGGUUGAAGAGCUCCUGAGACAGAAGGAAGAAGAACUCCCGCGAGGGGCCACUGUAGUCCAGGCUGCAAAGAAAGCAGAGGUCCAGGAAGCUCAUUCUGUGCCCGGAGGUGGGGGGACCUGUUUGCACCCAGAUUCUAGUGUGCCCUUUCAGAGUUGGGUGCUGGGGAAAGCAGAGAGCAGCCUCUGCUCUUUGGAGUGAAUGCCAAUGGCAGCAUCAAUUUGCUGUAGAAAAUGAGGAUGCAGUAAUUGGUUUGGAGAUGUUUCUUAACCAGAUGUCCAUGAAUAAACUCUUAUGGCAGCUUUCCUUAGUGUUUUCUUUUGAUCAUCUAACACCUCUGAGCUAAAACACACAGCUGGCCCAUUGAAUACAAGGCCUUUGUUGUGGGACACAUAAAAGAAUUUCCUGCAACAGUGAAUGUGUGCAUGCAUGUGUGUGUG